rnacentral:rRNA from 1 species
CAGUAGCCGCGGGAAUACAGAGGGUGCGAGCGUUAAUCGGAUUUACUGGGCGUAAAGAGUGCGUAGGCGGCUUCUUAAGUCGGAUGUGAAAUCCCUGAGCUUAACUUAGGAAUUGCAUUCGAUACUGGGAAGCUAGAGUAUGGGAGAGGAUGGUAGAAUUCCAGGUGUAGCGGUGAAAUGCGUAGAGAUCUGGAGGAAUACCGAUGGCGAAGGCAGCCAUCUGGCCUAAUACUGACGCUGAGGUACGAAAGCAUGGGGAGCAAACAGGAUUAGAUACCCGGGUAGUCCCUGUCUCUUAUAC